rnacentral:rRNA from 1 species
GAUGAACGCUAGCGGCAGGCUUAACACAUGCAAGUCGAGGGGCAGCAUGAGACGGAGAUUCGUCGAAGUCUUGAUGGCGACCGGCGCAAGGGUGCGUAACGCGUGAGCAACUUGCCCGUUUCUGGGGAAUAACCGGUGGAAACGCCGACUAAUACCCCAUAGUAUUGAGUUUAGGCAUCUUUACUCAAUUAAAGAAUUUCGGUGAAAGAUGGUCUCGCGUCUGAUUAGCUAGUUGGUAAGGUAACGGCUUACCAAGGCAACGAUCAGUAGCCGGAUUGAGAGGUUGAACGGCCACACUGGAACUGAGACACGGUCCAG